UAAGAGAUUAGAGGUUCCCUUCGGGGACAGAAUGACAGGUGGUGCAUGGUUGUCGUCAGCUCGUGUCGUGAGAUGUUGGGUUAAGUCCCGCAACGAGCGCAACCCUUAUUACUAGUUGCCAGCAUUAAGUUGGGCACUCUAGUGAGACUGCCGGUGACAAACCGGAGGAAGGUGGGGACGACGUCAAAUCAUCAUGCCCCUUAUGACCUGGGCUACACACGUGCUACAAUGGAUGGUACAACGAGUCGCGAGACCGCGAGGUUAAGCUAAUCUCUUAAAACCAUUCUCAGUUCGGACUGUAGGCUGCAACUCGCCUACACGAAGUCGGAAUCGCUAGUAAUCGCGGAUCAGCAUGCCGCGGUGAAUACGUUCCCGGGCCUUGUACACACCGCCCGUCACACCAUGAGAGUUUGUAACACCCAAAGCCGGUGGGGUAACCU
rnacentral:rRNA from 1 species